rnacentral:pre_miRNA from 1 species
AGGCCAUCUUUGAUAGCCAAGGAUGAUUUGCCUGUAGCCACCUCUGAAUGCUCCUGGUGCCAUGGCAAUCAGGAGCAGCAAGUGGCGGCCCUCCGGGCAAAUCAUCCGGGCUAACUGAGUGCCUCU